GCCUUAGUGGUGUAGUGGCCAGCACACUUGGCACAUAUUCAAGAGGUCCGUGGUUCGAGUCUCGGUGAGGGCA
rnacentral:tRNA from 1 species